GGAGGAAAGCAGGGGAUCGUAAGACCUUGCGCUUUUGGAGCGGCCGAUGCCUGAUUAGCUAGUUGGUGAGGUAAAGGCUCACCAAGGCGACGAUCCGUAGCUGGUCUGAGAGGACGACCAGCCACACUGGGACUGAGACACGGCCCAGACUCCUACGGGAGGCAGCAGUGGGGAAUUUUGGACAAUGGGCGCAAGCCUGAUCCAGCAAUGCCGCGUGAGUGAAGAAGGCCUUCGGGUUGUAAAGCUCUUUCAGCCGGGAAGAAAAGGUUGCGAUUAAUAAUCGCAAUUUAUGACGGUACCGGAAGAAGAAGCACCGGCUAACUACGUGCCAGCAGCCGCGGUAAUACGUAGGGUGCGAGCGUUAAUCGGAAUUACUGGGCGUAAAGGGUGCGCAGGCGGUUUUGUAAGUCAGAUGUGAAAUCCCCGGGCUUAACCUGGGAACUGCGUUUGAAACUACAAAGCUAG
rnacentral:rRNA from 1 species